rnacentral:rRNA from 1 species
AACGAACGCUGGCGGCAGGCCUAACACAUGCAAGUCGAGCGCACCCUUCGGGGUGAGCGGCGGACGGGUGAAUAACGCGUGGGAACGUGCCCUUCUCUGCGGAAUAGCCUCGGGAAACUGAGAGUAAUACCGCAUACGCCCUUUGGGGGAAAGAUUUAUCGGAGAAGGAUCGGCCCGCGUUGGAUUAGGUAGUUGGUGGGGUAAUGGCCCACCAAGCCGACGAUCCAUAGCUGGUUUGAGAGGAUGAUCAGCCACACUGGGACUGAGACACGGCCCAGACUCCUACGGGAGGCAGCAGUGGGGAAUCUUAGACAAUGGGGGCAACCCUGAUCUAGCCAUGCCGCGUGAGUGAUGAAGGCCUUAGGGUUGUAAAGCUCUUUCAGCUGGGAAGAUAAUGACGGUACCAGCAGAAGAAGCCCCGGCUAACUCCGUG